rnacentral:rRNA from 1 species
UACGUAGGGUGCGAGCGUUAAUCGGAAUUACUGGGCGUAAAGCGUGCGCAGGCGGCGCGUUUAAGACAGGUGUGAAAAGCCCCCGAGCUUUAACUUGGGAAUUGCGCUUGUGACUGGCGUGCUGGAGUGUGGCAGAGGGAGGUGGAAUUCCACGUGUAGCAGUGAAAUGCGUAGAGAUGUGGAGGAACACCGAUGGCGAAGGCAGCUUUUCUGGGCCAGCACUGACGCUCAUGCACGAAAGCGUGGGGAGCAAACAGG